ACAGCGCUCUAGCAGCGUGCGGCUCAACCGAGCGAGCGCUGGCCCCGCAGCAGCACAGGCGUUCCAGACAGCCUCAAGGCAGCAGCGAGACAACUGACAGUGCAGCCCACGCCGCUGCAGAACUGCAGUACCGACAAUUGAGCACUCAGCGGCAGCACUGAGCACGGAUGAGGCGGCACUACCGGACUACACCGCUCUAUGGCGACACUAUCAGACCUUUGCCACUCCUGGCAUGCUCAGCGACAUGAUAUGGCCGAGAGGAAUUCCGUUCCCCGGGACUACAGCUGCCGGCAUGCCCCGCGGAAACAACGUGGCCGACCAGACGGUCCGCGUCUCAUUACUACAGCUCCCGUCGUGCCUGCUUGGACUCCGCCCGCAGAGUCCAUCGGCUGCCGAUCCUAAGCCUAUCUGCGCCGGGACCCGGGUCCGCCUGAUCCCCGCUUGCACCUCAGCACUUCACUUGCCAGGCGUCCGCUGGUACCGCGCACAUGAACCGCCGCGGCGUCUCCUCGCCGAGAGACAGCAAAGAGCGCGGCGGCAGGACCCCGGCAUGCACCGGCUCUAUCUAUUUCGCUUGCCGGCGUCCGGCGGCGAGCUGUGCCUCAGCGUGGCCACAAGGCGGCAGUAGUGAGGUACACUAGAACGCAGGCGCUGAGCCCACGGCAACGCCUGGCUCAGGCUUUACUAUGUAACACAGUACAUGGAGAUAGGAAAAAACCUCGGACCGGAGCUGUUUAAAAUAAAAGGAGGCUAUACACGAAGCAACUUUUAAAUUUAUAUAUACACAAAUUAGUUUUCUAUUUUAAACCACUGUAUUUCUCUUGGUUUUGGAGUGUUGGUGUUUGGGGGAGUUGUUUGGUUUUUUUUUCAUUAAAUAUAUAUUCUAAAA